CCUGGCCCGGCACCGCCGCGGGAGCGGCCGCGGAGCUGUGCGUGGCCGCGGGCAGAGAGCAAGUGGCUGUUUCUACGCUCGGUGCCCGGAGACCGUGGGCGCUCAGAAUGGUUUGCAGCCUGACACG